rnacentral:rRNA from 1 species
UACCAGACUCCUACGGGAGGCAGCAGUCGGGAAUAUUGCGCAAUGGAGGAAACUCUGACGCAGUGACGCCGCGUAUAGGAAGAAGGUCUUCGGAUUGUAAACUAUUGUCGUUAGGGAAGAGAAAGGACAGUACCUAAGGAGGAAGCUCCGGCUAACUACGUGCCAGCAGCCGCGGUAAUACGGAGGAUGCGAGCGUUAUCCGGAUUUAUUGGGUUUAAAGGGUGCGCAGGCGGCACGGCAAGCCGGCGGUAAAAUCGCGGGGCUCAACCCCGCCCAGCCGUCGGAACUGCCGGGCUAGAGUGGGCGAGAAGUGCGCGGAAUGCGCGGUGUAGCGGUAAAAUGCUUAGAUAUCGCGCAGAACCCCGAUUGCGAAGGCAGCGUACCGGCUCCACACUGACGCUGAGGCACGAAAGCGUGGGUAUCGAACAGGAUUAGAUACCCCGGUAGGA